CGUCCAGUGGUUUAGUGGUAAAAUCCAACGUUGCCAUCGUUGGGCCCCGAGUUCGAUUCUCGGCUGGACGA
rfam:Thalassiosira oceanica strain CCMP1005 To_g02816, whole genome shotgun sequence.